AACAAAAAAAUCAAUAGGUUAAUAUAUGAAUAUUACAAUUACAUCAAAUUGCAUCAAGUUAUAAAAUUAUAAAUAUAAUAUUACGUACAGAUAAAAAAUUAUUAUCAAACAUUUAUAUUAUAAUAUAAUAGAUUCUACUCUAAAAAUAUUUUACAAAACAUAAAAAUAUAAAUUGACAUUUUAUAAAAUUAAUGGUUUAUAAAUUUAUAUUGAACGCAAGUUAAAUCCAACACUCGUGCGGGGUGCGGGUCAAGAUCUAGUUAUAAUUAUGGCGUCUUCUUCUCUUCUGUUAAAACUGUUCAUAUUUCCCCUGCAUAUUUCAGUGACGAUCAGGCCUGGUAAGUGGUGACGAUACAACUUUAAAAGAUUUCAAGAUCGUUGGUUCUUCCUGUUUUCUUCAAGGAUUGCAUCGUUGAUUGUUUUCUGUAUCCAUUUCAGUUUCAGCUUCAUCCAAUAUUCAUCAAUUCAGUUUUUGCUUCUAAAAUCCAGGUGUAAUUUUCCUUUUACUUAACUUUUUUGCUUGCAUCAUGACUGGAACUAAUUCUGGAUGUCAAAAGUGGAAGAGAAAAAGACUUCGUGAAUUGUUUAUUGAAUCACAAAGAGGUUCUUUAGAUAAAUUUUUGAUAAAAAGAAAUGCUGAUAAAAAUUUGAAAUCUGAUUGUGUGGAUAAUAUUCCUGAAUCAAAUGAUCAUUUUGGUGAUGGGAUUAGUCAUUUGAGUGAGCAUGAUAAUGUGAUUAAUGCAUCUAAUGUUGAAAGUCAGAAUUUUUUUGAAGAACCAAGUUCUUGUCUUGAUGUUUAUGAUCCUAGGUCCUGGGAAAAUCUUGACAACAAAAAGAGAUGUGCUAAUUGAAAAAGAGCCUAAAAGAGAAAUGAAUCUUGUGUUUCCUUUAGAUAAGUAUUCUAGACAUUUCUCAUAUAAUUAUUAUUCUCGAAAGUUGAGUAAUGGAGAAACUAGUGAUAGAAAUUGGUUGGUUUACUCAAAACAUGUGGACAAAGUCUAUUGCUUUUGUUGCAAAUUGUUUAAAUCCAUUGGCUGCUCAAAUAUGUUAGCAAAUGAUGGAUUUAAAGAUUGGAAACAUCUUAGUGAGAGGCUUAAAGAUCAUGACAGAAGUAUAGAACACGUGACUAAUAUGAAAACUUGGAAUGAACUAAAAGUUAGAUUAGAAAGAGAUCCAACAAUUGAUAAAUAACUCCAAAAAUAAAUUGCUAAAGAAAAAGAACGUUGGAGGCUGGGCUUAACUAGAAUAAUUGAUAUUGUGAAAUUUCUUUCUAAAAGGUGCUUAGCUUUUAGAGGAAAAAAUGAGAAACUUUACCAAGAAAGCAAUGGUAAUUUCUUAGGAGCUAUUGAAAUGAUUGCAGAAUUUGAUUUGAUAAUCCAAGAUCAUAUUAGGCGCAUUCAAAAUCAUGAAAUCCAUCAUCAUUAUUUUGGCCAUAAUAUUCAAAAUGAGUUUAUUUCUCUUUUGGCUCAUAAUGUUCAGCUUUCCAUUAUUGCAAAUAUCAAAGAGGCAAAAUACUUUUCAGUGAUUCUUGAUUGUACACCAGAUGUGAGCCACCAAGAGCAAAUGACUCUAAUAAUAAGAUGUGUGAACAUGUCUGAUAAAAAAAUUAGAGUAGAAGAGUAUUUUUUUAGAGUUUCUAAAGGUAGAUGACACAUCUGGUCUAGGGCUCUUUGAAAAAUUAUUAGCUGUUCUAAAGUCUCUUACUUUUGAUGUUGAUAAUGUGAGGGUCAAAGUUAUGACAAUGGUUCUAAUAUAAAAGGAAAACAUCAAGGUGUUCAAAGACGAUUGCUUGAUAUAAACUCAAAAGCUUUGUAUAUGCCAUGUGCUUGUCAUAGUCUUAAUCUUGUGGUUAGUGAUAUGGCUCAUUCAUGUUUGAAAGAUAUUUCUUUCUUUGGAGUUGUGCAACGCAUAUAUUGCUUGACCAUGUUUCUUUUUUUACAGUGAAAUCAUUAUCCAAUACUCGUUGGGAAAGCCGAAUUAAUAGUGUGAAAGCUAUCAGAUUUUAAGCUUUGCAAGUAAGGUCAGCUUUAUUAGAAUUGUAUGAAUCAUGUGAAGAUGCUAUGACAAAAAGUGAUGCUGAAAGUUUAAUUAUGGCAUUUGAUAAUUUUGAAUUUUUACCUGGCAUGGUCAUUUGGUAUGAAAUUUUGUUUGCUAUUAACUCGGCCAGUAAGAACUUACAGUCUAAAUCUAUGUGCAUUGACAAUGCUUUAAAACAACUUGAAGGUGUUCUGCUGUUUUUUUAGAAAUAUAGAAAUGAAGGGUUUAAUUCUAGCUUGAAACUAGCUCAAAAUAUUGCUCAUGAGAUGGAUGUUGAUCCUGUUUUUCCAAAUACGCGUCGUGUCUUUAGGAAAAAGCAGUUUGAUGAAACUGAUUCAGGUGAACAAGUACAAUUAUCAGGUGAGGAUGCUUUUAGAGUUGGCUAUUUUUUUUGUUGUUGUGGACAUGGCUAUAACUUCGGUGAAGAACAGGUUUGAUCAAAUGAUGAAUUUUAAAAGUGUUUUUGGGUUUUUAUUCGAUUCGUUGAGAUUAAAAGUGUUAGACGAAAGUGAACUUCGAACUCAUUGCACAAUCUUUUACAAUACUUUUUCUAAUGGCGAUUCUUCUGAUGUUGAUUUGAAUGAUCUUUUUUCUGAAUUGAGAAUACUGCAAACGACUAUACCCGGUGUAUCUAUAGAACCUAGUGAAGUUCUAGAGUUUGUUGAAAGUGUAGGCUGUUAUCCACAUGUUUCAAUUGCUUAUCGAAUUCUUUUGACUACACCUGUGACUGUAGCCUCAGCAGAGAGGAGCUUUUCAAAAUUAAAGUUAUUGAAAAAUGAUUUAAGAUCUUCAAUGUCUCAAGGAUUGAAUGGUUUAGCUAUUUUAUGUAUUGAAAAGAAUAUCUUAGAAAUCAUUGAUUUUGAAACUGUCAUACAUGAUUUUGCAUCGAGUAAAACUCGAAAAAACCGUUUCUUAUGAUUGCAUUUCUUUUUAGGAUGACUACUGUUUUUUUUCUUUUUCUUUCAGAUUUGCGGGAAGAUGUUAUAUUUUUGUUUGGUUCUUGUUUACUUCGGUUUACUAACUUUUAUUUUUGGUCCAAUUUUAUUAUUGUAAUCUCUUAACCAAUGCUCAGUUUGGGGUGAAUAUUAAUAUUAAUUAUAUAUAUUAAUAUUAAUAUUAAUAUUAAUUAUAUAUAUAUAUAUAUAUAUAUAUAUUCUUACAAAAACUUUAGCCAUAGUACUUAAAUACACUUUUACAUUUCACAAACAAUGUACAUUUUUAAUUACACUCCUAGGUGGUUUCCUUCGCAAUGCAUAAUAAUAAAUUCUUUACAAAAAUUUAUGAAAUGAAAACUUAAAUUUAUUAAUUAAAAUUUUAAUUUAAAUAUAUAAAGUUUAUAAAUAUUUUUUUGUUAUUUAGGUUUUUUUUGUUUGAUUUCAAAACAAAUCGUGUAUUAUAUCGUUUAAAUUCAAAUAAAUUCAGUAAUUGUCUACUUCACUUUAUUAUGUUGAUUUAUGAAUAUACGAAUUUUUUUGAAUAUUUAACUUAGUUAAAAUUAUCAUAGUUUUAUAUUUGCUAAGAUACACUCACAUUUAUUUUUUUAUAUUAAGUUGAUGUGAAAUUUUAUAUGGUAUGUAUCCAAUUGUUAUUAUCUCAUUCUAGGAAUCUGACAAAUAAGACACAAUUUUAUAUACCAUAAUAACAUAACAUAACAGAGCGAAGUUUUAUAGAGCGGUUUUCUAGGAGAUCUAGAAGGCCAUUUGUCCGACGCUAUGUGUAAUGACCCGAUCUCGGUUUCGGAACUUAUUAGCCGGCUAAAGCCCAAGCACUACCUAAAGAUCCAAGAUAUUUUCCUAUAAAUACUUUAUCCCCAUUAUUUUUCCUCCAGCAAAAGAAAAAUCAGAAAUUAAAAAAAGAAGAAAAAGAAAAGAGAGUUAUAAGAAUAGAGAAAUGGAAGAUGUUGUGGAAGCUGAGCCACCAAGAUGAUUAUCUCCAGAGCUACUGCAUGUCUUGACCACGCCAAGCUCGUCACCACCGAUCACCGCAGCUUAGAAUCGCCGAAAACCGCCAUGUAGUUAAGCUUAGUUUCGUCCGUUUAGUAAUUCGUCGGUAACUCUCUAACCGUUGCGAAUCUCGUGCAUGCAAGGCGGCCUUCAUCGUGUUCCUCUCGUUGAGACGAAUCCGUAGACACCGACCACGCCGCAAUCGGAGCUCAGACGAAGCCGUACGCGUCUCCAGAAGUUAUGCCGACUGCGGGCGUUUCGUCCACGCGCCGUCGCCGGAAAUCGCCUCUGCCGUCGUCUUCCACCGCAACUCUGCUGCCGCCGGAAAUCGCCUCCGUCAUUGCCGCCGGCGAACUUCCCGGUAAGACGCCGCCGCCCUUCGCCGCCGUCGCCGCCGGUGACUGACACCGGUGACUCGGUCAACUCAGCCGAGUCAACUCAGCGAGUUAACUCGGUUGACUCGGUAAACCGGUAGGUUGACUGGUUUGACAGGUUUAAAUUGAUUUCGGUUUGGUUAGGUAAACCGGUCGGUUAUGUCAAAUCGAUUUCUGGUCAAGGGUUGACCGGGUUGACCUUUGACCAGCGGGUUGAUUUUUCCGCAAGCUUGACCAGUUCCAUUUUUUACCGUUCGAAAGGCGUUCUGACUCAGAAUUUCGAUCUGAUUUCAGAUAUGGAGUCUAUUUGAGCAGCUGGAGUUAAUAGACAUUACUUCUCCUAAUUGCUAUGGUGAGGGUCUAUUCCCGAACUUCUCGUACACGGCUUAGGACCUCGAAUAAAUAUAAUUUAUUUCUAAUGUGUUCCGUCUGUGUGAAAUCGAGUCUGUCAUUGCUUGUUUAGUUAUUAGGUUCUUUGUUUAAACCGGAAUUAGGUUGUUAGAGAAUUCAACAUUGAUUGUUUCACUUAAUGUAAAUGCUUAGCUAGGAUUGUUUUUGUGUGGAGACGGAUACAGAUACGAACUUCUGUAUCCCGGAUUGUAUGAGGUUAUGGCCAACUAUAGUCGACCGGUUGAGCUGUAGCCUGGAAGUGUCGAUAAAUCGUCCACGGGCGGUGUCCGAGCACUAUCUCGAGUUGUGUUAUGUUUUUGGCCUGUUAGUGGGCGGCGAGUGUGCACCUCGCUAGGACCAUUGUUUGUUGCUUGGGUACUUUAGGUACCGUGUUUGACAUGCAUUAGAAUUAAUUUAUAUUUAUUCGGAGGGCUAUGUCCGGGUCCAUGGACUACGGGGUAGCAUCCCAUACCUCACUGAGCGAUUCUCCUGUCGCUCACCCCUCACUCUUCCCCUUUUCAGGUGAGACAAAUAAGUAUGUGAUAUUUGGACGGACUUGGUGCUACUGGACUUUUCUUUCGGAUUUUAUUUGGGCUUGGGUGAGUGUUAUUCAGUUUAUGGGCUUUUAUAUUACAGGAUAUUGUUGGUGGCCCGCCGUCCUUAGUGAGAGGAAGACGGGUGUCACAUUGUUGUAUGAUAACGCGUCGGGGGUGACUCGCUGUCCUCCAUAUAGGAGGUGACGGGUGUCGAAAUUUUGGUAUCAGAGCGGGGUUCCAUCCCGGUUCCGUCCGGGAUGGCGAUCAGAGGAUUUGGUUUUCAUUGGUUUUCAAUGUUCUUUUUGUUUAAAAUAUAUAUAUAUAUAUAUAUAUAUAUAUUUAUUUAUAUAUUUCGAAAUUCUUUUAGCACCAUUUUGUCCAGUAAUUACUAACUCAAAUGUCUAUUUCUAUGACAAUGAGUAAAAUCAUCGUCAUUCGUCCUUUGACUAAUAGGGUUCUCGCCAGAUGUUCAACAGUUGGGUGAUGUUUAAGUUCGUCAGCUUUCUCGGGAGUUAUCAGUUUCUUCGGUCAUGAUUUCGAGGUUCUCCAGGAGUGGAUAUGUGACGUUUCUGCCACCAGCCCACUUCAAGUAAUCGUUCCACGAGUUUUGUUAUGGAGAUUAUGUGAUGUGAGGUAUGAGCCAUUGGUUGGCAUGUGUACGAGUAUAUUGACUAUUUUGGAGGUAUAUUUGUUUUGUGAGUUCGUGGAGAUCGCUUUUGAAUUGGGGUGCAGCAGCUUGCGUUGUGUGGAUGUUGGAGUUACACUUUGGUAUGUUUACCAAUUUUGGCAGUGUUGAUCUUUUCAGAGAUGUGUCAGUUUGAACAACUGACAUAGGACAUUGGGAACUAUUUAUAUUCAUCGCAGUGUACCAGUUAUGCUUGGAGGGCCUAGUUCUCCGGAGACUCGUCAGAGAUGGAGCUACGUUUUUACGAUGUCAUCCUUAGGAUGGAUUUGCUGUCACGACAUCGAGUAGUGUUGGAUUGCCUGAGGGCACGAGUUCAUAUUGCUGGAGCAGAUGGAAUUUUUUAUGCAUGCAUGCUACAUACUGAGGAGUUAUGAAAUAUAUGAACAUAGAGAUUUUUGACUACCAUUUCGAUGGUUAAGAAUGAUGGACAGCAUGAGCUGUAGGAUCUUCCGGUUAUUGCAGAGUAUGAAGAUAUAUUUGUGACCUUUGGAACGGUCACUACAAGACACAUGAGACCUUAUUGCGAAUUGUUUGGAGCAAACAACACUGGUUUCACGAGUUUCUUAUCGUCUAUCACGAACAAUGAUGACUGAGUUGAGAAAGCAAUUGGAGGAACUCUUUGAUAAGGGAUUUAGCAGAUGAAGUACUUCACCAUGGAGAGCAUCAUUGUUGUUGUAAAGAAGAAAGGUGGGAGUUUCAGAUUUUGUAUCGACUACAUAGACUUGAACAUGGUAACCAUCGUAUUGAUGAGUUGUUAGAAGAGAUUAAUGGAGGCUCAUCGUUCUCGAAGUUUGUCUUGGCAUCAGGAUACCAUCAAAUUGCUAUAGCUGAGGAGUAUGUAUGGAAUGCAGAUUUCCGUUAUGGAUAUUAUGAGUUCGUAGUGAUACCAUUUGGGUCGACAAUGGCACCGUUGCAUUCAUGAAGAUAUGAAUGACGUUUUCGUGAACAGUUGGAUAGGUCUGCGAUUGUAUUCAUCAACGACAUCCUGAUUUAUUUUGGAAUAGAAAGGAGAUUUGUGAGCAUUUAGCAGAUUGUGUUGGAUAAGCUUGGAGAGCAUCAGCUGUUCGCUAAGUUGAGGAAGUGUAGCUUCUGACAGAGGGAUGUUGGAUUUUUUGGGUAACAUGGUUUUGGAAGCAGAAUUUUGAUAGAUCCAAAGAAGAUUAAUACCGUUCCGGGGAGGUCGAAACCUAAGAGCACUAUAGAGAUCUGCCGUUCUUUUUGGGUUAACAGUGUACUACUAGAAUUUCAUCAAGGGUUUCACCGUUAUAGUAAUGUUGAAGAUACAGUCUACAUGUAAAGACGUUAAGUGUGGUUGGAUAGAUUUUUGUUCGAGAAGUUUCACUGAAUAGAAGCACAACUAAUGAAGACACCAGUUUUGGUUCUACAGUGGCUGAGGCUUACUCUGAUGUGCCAUAUACAGGCUUGGAUUUAAAUUGAGGUAAGAGGAUUAAGUCAUUCAUAUGCAUCACACCGGAGAGGUUGUAGCGGUAUUUGCGUUAUAGUUUUGGAGCUCGUAAUUGUAGGGAAGGAAGUCCAGAUUCUCUGGGAUUAUUAGAAUCUGAAAUUUAUCUUCAUUCAUUAAAGCUUGUACGUGGACAGUGCAAUAGGAUUGAGUUUGGAGCAUGCAGAUUUGCUAUGCGGGAUACACCAAGCGCAUGUUAACAUUCUGGUUUUGGCUGAUCGAUAUUGGGAGUAUUGGAUAUCAUACAGCUUUGAGCAGGAUGUAUCUAUAUCGAAACCGAGUUUGUGUGUUGGACGAUAAGCUGUUAAGAAAAGGGAUCUUACAGCAAACACAUCACUCGUGUUACUGUACCCAUCAGAAAUAUCAAGGAGUUCAAAGAUAUAAAGCGUUAUAAUCAUUGGCCUAUUAUGAAAAAGAUUGUAGCUACAUUGCGUCUAUGUCAGAUGGUUAUGAUAGAGGAUCAAUUAUCGAUCAUGUUAUUUUGAGCUUGCUUUUACUAGAGUGGAAAUGAGGCUUGUUGAUUAUGGAGGUUGUUACUCGAUUUUAAAUCACCAUAUGUGGAAAGGAUACCACAUGGGUAGUCAUGGAUAGACUUACCAAGUCAACCCAUUUUCUAAAAUAAUUUAGAAGACAGACAGAGUUGAUCAGUUGGUGCAGAUUCACAUCAGCGUGAUUGUAAGGAUUUGGAGUUUAUGUCAGCAUUAUAUUGGAUUGGCAUUCGAAGUUCACGUCUGCAUUUUGGAGUCAUUCAGAAGGCGUUUGGGACAAAGAUCCAUAGGAAAAUAACUUAUUAUCGGCAUUCAAAUGGUCAGUUAGAGAGGACUACUUAGAACUUAAAGGAUAUGUUCAGGGAUUGCAUCUUCCAAUGGGAUGGAAGUUCAGAAAGCAUCCACCUCUAAUAGAGUUUUCUUAUAUCGACAGUUAUCAUUCAAGCAUUGAGAUGGACCGUACAAGGCUGUUUAUGGUAGGCAUUGUCGUAUACCACUUUGUUGGACCAAAGUGGGGGAGCGAUAUGAGUUAAAAUUACUAAUAGUUCAAGAGACGUAGAGCAAAUGGAUAUGCUCAAAGAUUGGCUUUAGAAAACCCAUAGCCGUCAGAGGAUUUAUGCAGCUAAGCGCCAUAAGGAUUUGGAGUUACAUAUGGGUUAUUUAGUAUACCUGAAAAUAAGGACAUUUCAUAAGGGACCUAAGACUCAGAAGCUAAAGGAGCUUAAACCAAGGUACAUGGGAUUGUAGCCUUCGCUGGACCGGAUUGGAGUAGCUGCUUGCAGUUGUUUUAUCAGCAUUGUAUCAACCUUCCAUGACGUGGUUUAUGUGUCAGCGUUGAAAAAAGUUGAAGGAAAACCAGAGUUAUUUUGCGGCAGACGUCAAAUCACCGCAGGAAAAUUAUACUCGUCUUGUCAGCUAGUGUAGAAUUUAGAUCAUCAAGCGAAAGCAGUUUAGAGAAUGUCGACUGUGUUUUUCAGAGUUUGUUGAGAGUGAGAUGAGACCUGAGAGACCGACCAUAUUGAUUAUUCAGAAGUUUGUUUCAAUAAUGUUGGAGAAUUAACGGAUGACUCGAAUUUGGGGACGAAUUCUUUGUAGUAGAGGAGAAUUGUAACGACCCGAUCCCGGUCUCGGAACUUAUUAGCCGGAUAAAGCCCAAGCACUACCUAAAGACCCAAGAUAUUUGCCUAUAAAUACCUCAUCCCCAUUAUUUUUCCUCCAGCAAAAGAAAAAUCAGAAAUUAGAAAAAGAAUAAAAAGAAAAGAGAGUUAUACGAAUUGAGAAAUGGAAGAUGUUGUGGAAGCUGAGCCACCAAGAUGAUUGUCGCUGGAGCUACUGCAUGUCGUGACCACGCCAAGCUCUUCACCACCGAUCACCGCAGCUUAGAAUCGCCGGAAACCGCCAUGCAGUUAAGCUUAGUUUCGUCCGUUUAGUAAUUCGUCGAUAACUCUCUAACCGUCACAUACUCUCGUGCAUGCAAGGCCAUCAUCGUGUUCCUCUCGUCAAAACGAAUCCGUAGACACCGACCACGCCGCAAUCGGAGCUCAGACGAAGCCGUACGCGCCUCCAGAAAUUACGCCGACUGCGCGCGUUUCGUCCACGCGCCGUCGCCGGAAAUCGCCUCUGCCGUCGUCCUCCGCCGCAACUCUGCCACCACCGGAAAUCGCCUCCAUCGUUGCCGCCGGCGAACUUCCCGAUAUGGAGUCUAUUUGAGCAGCUGGAGUUAAUAUACAUUACUUCUCCUAAUUGCUAAGGUGAGACAAAUAAGUAUGUGAUAUUUGGACGGACUUGGUGCUACUGGGCUUUUCUUUCGGAUUUUAUUUGGGCUUGGAUGAGUGUUAUUGGGUUUAUGGGCUUUUAUAUUACGGGAUAUUGUUGGUGGCCCGCCGUCCUUAGUGAAAGGGAGACGGGUGUCACAUUGUUGUAUGAUGAUGCGUCGGGGGUGACACGCUGUCUUCCAUAUAGGAGGGGACAGGUGUCGCACUAUGACUUCUGGCAAAGAGAAUGUCG